ensembl:snoRNA
AUUCAGUGAUGGUUGCAUAGUUCAGUAAGUUCACUGAAAAGCAAUGACUUGUACACUUAGCAUGGAUGAAUUU